rnacentral:rRNA from 1 species
UACGUAGGGUGCGAGCGUUGUCCGGAAUUAUUGGGCGUAAAGAGCUCGUAGGCGGCCUGUCGCGUCGGAUGUAAAAGCCCGGGGCUUAACCCCGGGUCUGCAUUCGAUACGGGCAGGCUAGAGUGUGGUAGGGGAGAUCGGAAUUCCUGGUGUAGCGGUGAAAUGCGUAGAUAUCUGGAGGAACACCGGUGGCGAAGGCGGCAUCCUGGACCGGCAUUGACGCUGAGGCGCGAAAGCCAGGGGAGCAAACGGG